UCCGCCGAAUGUUUUAGUCUGCAAGCCUCUACUUUUUCCGUCCAGUGCGAUAGUUUGCCGUGUUUUACAAUAAGUGGAAGUAGUGUUAGUCACUCGUGUCGGUUGUCAUCGUGCGAAUUUUCGGUAGUGUCUUUUCAGUGAUAUUUCUGUGAAAUUUGAUUUGAGGAUAUAAUUUCGGAAGUCAAUUUGCUCACGUGUAUUCCUCAGCGUAGAUUCGCCAACAUUUGAGAAGGCGAUGAACGAGGAUGGAAAUCUUCACCCUACGCAUCAGAGCUGUUCCUGACCUUGCAGAUCAUCGCUUCUUCACGG